rnacentral:rRNA from 1 species
GUCCGAUUAUUUCGAUGGUAGAUUGGACUAUAUGGCUUUCACGGGUACAGGGAAUUAGGGUUCGAUUCUGGAGAAGGAGCCUGAGAACGGCUACUACAUCUACGGAUUUUUCUCUUGCGCGUAAAUUGCCCGAGUACAAGUAAAAAGGAGGUGGUGACAAGAUAUAACGACGCGAUUAAUGUCGUGAUUGUAGUGAGGAUAUUCCAAAAAGAAUCACAAGAACGAUUAGAGGGCAAGUCUGGUGCCAGCAGCCGCGGUAAUUCCAGCUCUAAUAGCGUAUAUUAAAGUUGCUGCAGUUAAAAAGCUCGUAGUUGGAUUUCAAGGAUUAUAUUUUUCCUUUGGAAUGUGUACCCUACUAGCCUUUCAGGCUGUUACUGUGAGAAAAUUAGAGUGUUUAAAGCAGGCUCAUGCAAGCUACAUUAGCAUGGAAUAACGAAUGAGUCUAGAAUCUUGGUAAUCAGACCGACCCAGAGACAGUGGGGGCAUAGAUUUAAUUGACAGACGCUGAAUCUGGAUGUAAGACUACGUAUGCGAAGCAUUUGCCACGCUGUCUUCAUCAUCAGACGAAAGAUAGGGAUCAAGACAUCAGAUACUGUCGUAGUCUAUCUAUAACUAUGCCGACUAGGAUGAUGAACUCACAUUUCAGUACUUAUGACAUCAGUCUUGGUUUUGGGGGAGUAUGUCCAGACUGACUAGAUGACGAGACCCAGAGUGACCUGCGCUAUGACCAACGGACUACAGUCGACUUAGGU